rnacentral:lncRNA from 12 species
CCCCCCCCCCCCCCCCCCCCCCCCCCCCCCCCCCCCCCCCCCCCCCCCCCCCCCCCCCCCCCCCCCCCCCCCCCCCCCCCCCCCCCGAGCCCGCAGGGCCGGGGAGUGGGAGGGAGGAGGAGGAGGAGUGAGGCGGAAAGUGUCUCCUGAGCCUCACUCUCUCCCUCCAAGGUGAGUUCAGCGCUGCUCCGCGCUCCUUUUGUCUCGGUGCGAGGCCGCGGCGCUCCCCGGCCCCCCCCCCCCCCCCCCCCCCCCCCCCCCCCCCCCCCCCCCCCCCCCCCCCCCCCCCCCCCCCCUGCCCCUGCCCCUGCCCCGUGUCCCCUGGGGGCUGCCGCAGGGCAGGUGGAGGGGCCGAGGGGUGCGGGCGGUGCCCUCCUUCCCUCUGGGCUCCUUUGGGACGGAUGCGGUCGGCCCCAUCUUUGCGCUUUACGCAACAGGUCACAACAUGGUUGUUGGGAAAAUGGGAUGGUUGCCAGAACACCGGACUGUGAUGGGUGCCAUACUGUAUUGCACUUCGAGUGGUGGAAUACAACUUGGGUUUCCUCAGGGCUGAUUAACACGGUUCAAACUGGACCAUACAGCUGCUUAACAUCCUAGCUGUUUGAUUCAUGGUAAUGGUUAAUGGUCUCCUGGGGCAAGUGGAAGAGCCUCAUGCUGAAUCUUUGUGGAUAUUGUGGAACAUGCUGCUGAGACCCAUUUGGAUUACAUCGCCAUCUGACACCAAGAUUCUGCAGCUGAUGAAAGGUAUGCUUGUCCUCUGGUGCAAAAGUACGCGUGCAUCGAAAUACUAAGCACA